rnacentral:rRNA from 1 species
UACGUAGGGUGCGAGCGUUGUCCGGAAUUAUUGGGCGUAAAGAGCUCGUAGGCGGUUUGUCGCGUCGACUGUGAAAACCCGAGGCUUAACCUCGGGCCUGCAGUCGAUACGGGCAGACUAGAGUUCGGUAGGGGAGACUGGAAUUCCUGGUGUAGCGGUGAAAUGCGCAGAUAUCAGGAGGAACACCUAUGGCGAAGGCAGCUCGCUGGGACGGUACUGACGCUGAGGCGCGAAAGCGUGGGGAGCAAACAGG